rnacentral:lncRNA from 1 species
GUAGGAGUCAAAGAGGAUUCUGGGAGAUGUAGUAGAGAAGUGAUGGUCCAGGCAGGAAGUGACAUAGCAAGAAGACUCAUAUUUGAGCGAGGAGAAAUGGGAAGUUCCUUCUUUUCCCCUCUGCUCCUGUUCCAGCGACACAAUGUGAUCCACCAGCAAGGAUGAAUGCCAUAAGGCAUCUGAUAAGAGAAAAUCAAAAGCUGUGGGUUCCUUCCAGACUAAUAUGGUUUGAUCAAGCAAGACCCCCUAAAGCUGAGAUGAUACAGCCUUACAGACUACAAAAACAAGGACUUGGUCAGAGUGUUCAUCCUGUAUCUGAUGGAAGCAGAAGCAGACACCCACAGCUAAACACUGAGCUGAACUGCUGGAAUCCAGUUGCAGAGAGGGCGGAGUGAUGAGCAAAGGGUAAAGACCGGCCUGGAGAAACCUACAGAAACAGGUGACCUGAACAUGGAUGGGGUUGUUCAUGGACCCCAGACUGAUAACUGGUGAACCAACACCGAACCAAACGAGGCUUCCUGAAUGUGGGUGUCAGCUAGGAUCACUGGGCAGUCUAUGGGGCCUCUGGCAGUGAAACCAGGAUGUAUCCCUAAUGUAGAAACAGACUUCAGGAGCCCAUUUACCAUGAAAGGAUAUUAUCUUAGCCUAGAUACACAGGGGAGGGCCUAGGCCCUGACCCAAAUGACUGGACAGAUUUUUGAUGAUCCCUCAUGGAAGGCCUCACUCCUGGAGCGUGGAUGGGGGGAUUGGUAGGGCAAUGGGAGGAUGGGAGUAGAGGGAACUGGGAUUUAUAUUUAAAAUAAGAUUGUUUCUAAUUUAAAUAAAAUUUAUUUUAAAAGAAAAGGCA